rnacentral:rRNA from 1 species
CCUACGGGAGGCAGCAGUGGGGGAUAUUGCACAAUGGGGGGAACCCUGAUGCAGCGACGCCGCGUGGGUGAAGAAGCGCCUCGGCGCGUAAAGCCCUGUCAGCAGGGAAGAAAAUGACGGUACCUGACGAAGAACCCCCUGCUAACUUCGGGCCAGCAGCCGCGGUAAUACGUAGGGGGCAAGCGUUAUCCGGAUUUACUGGGUGUAAAGGGGGCGCAGACGGUGGUGCAUGCCAGGAGUGAAAGCCCGGGGACCAACCCCGGGACUGCUUCUGGAACUGCGUGGCUGGAGUGCAGGAGGGGCAGGUGGAAUUCCUGGUGUAGCGGUGAAAUGCGUAGAUAUAAGGAGGAACACCGGUGGCGAAGGCGGCCUGCUGGACUGCAACUGACGUUGAGGCCCGAAAGCGUGGGGAGCAAACAGGAUUAGAUACCCGGGUAGUC